AAAUUUUGCCCAGAAAUGUGUUUUUAAGUAGUGUAAUCGGUUACUCCAAUUCUGGUAACUGAUUACACUAUCGCAGAAGCACUUUUCUGCAACUUUUUCAAAACGAAGAUCACAUAAAAUUCAUCUCGAAACCCCAUUUUUCUCAUAAAUCAUUUAUACCAUAUUUUAACCCGAAAAUCACUUUUCCAAAGUUCAAAACCCCAACUUAUUUACACCAAAAACCUUCAUAACUCAGUUCCGACUCUGACCC
rnacentral:lncRNA from 1 species